GAAAGAACAAGGGUUGCUGUAUCAUUGGAUCCUGGAUGACUAGGUCUACAUCAUCACCUACCAGAUGCAACUGGGGCCUGAGAGGCAUUGCUACUGACAUUUCGGAGAGACCUGUGAUCACUGUAGCCACCUGGUAUCUAAAAGAUUUCCAUGGAAGUUCUUAAACAUGAAUCUUUUUCAUCAUGCUGAGAUAUUACUUGAAUAUUAGCAGAAAUAAUUCAUUCACUCGUUAGAAAUGUCAAGGUAAGCAUUGUCAAGAAAAAGAGUACUAUUAGUGCUGAAGUGCUCAACUGCUCUAAAAUUGCCUUUAAAAAUAUGUGCAGACUACAAAAAAAAGCAAAAUCUUAAUUACCCUAUAUAGACUUAGAAUUGAUGCGUCACUGAAGACUGAAUCAAUUGGAAAUGUCUGGCACUAAUUUUUCCUCAUACUUAUUCAAAUAUACAAAGAGGUGUAAUUAGAUAACAUGGUUGUUUAUGGUUGUUUGGUUGGCAGGUUGGUUUUCUUGAGACUGGGUCUCACGGUCGCCCAGGCUGGAGUGCAGUGGCGAGAUCUCGGCUCACUGCAACCUCUGCCUCCCGGGUUCAAGCGAUUCUCCGACCUGGGCCUCCUGAGUAUCUGGGAUUACAGGUGCACGCCACCAUGUCCGGCUAAGCUUGUAUUUUUUGGUAGACAUGGGGUUUCACCAUGUUGGCCAGGCUGUUCUCAAGCUCCCAACCUCUGGUGAUCUGCCUGCCUCGGCCUCCCAAAGUGCUGGGAUUACAGGCGUGAGCCACCGCACCCGGCCAGCUACACAUAUUUGACAGACCAGAAUGAGGCAUAUUUUUAGAUACCCAGAUUGGGUGUUCAAGAAUAGAGAAAGAGCAUUGGAUAUUUAUGGAGCAAUAAAGUGUUUGAAUAUGGGUUCAAUUUAAAAGAAUUUAAAAGAAAUAUGAACUGUCCUGCAGAUUCCCUUUGAUGGCAGUCUUUUAAAAUGUGGCUCUAGGGGUUGUAUUUGAACCUCUUUCAGGCAAAAAUAAACCAAACAACAGAAAACUACUUUCUACAAGUCCAAAUAAAAAGUAAAUAAUUUCUCCUACACUACUAUGAUUUUCAUUAUAUUUGAGAUUUAUUGGAAGAAGCUUUUCCGUUUUUAUUUCUUAGCAGGUGGAUAGAUCUCUAGAGAUUAAAAACAGUAUUUGACAUUUUUAGGAAAAACUAUCAAGAAACCCUGAAGAUCUUUAGUAUGAGAGUAAAUUUCUGACUAGUCAUUAGUGACACCAUUAGUUAAGCAUGUUGAAGUUACUUUCCUUUUAGAUUGCAAUUCCAAAGGUAGCAUUUGAUUGCUUCAGACAUUGAGCAAAUAACCAUUAGCUUCUGAAACUAUUGCUGGCAUUGCUUAUUUCAAUCCAUCAAAGCCUCUUCUUGUGAUAAAUAUAGUAUUUCAAUCUAACUUCUCCCUUUGAGUCGUGCUGAACAUCUGCAUAUCUUUUCAAUAAAAUGGCCAGGACUUAAACUGGCUUUUCCCUGAGGACAUUUGAUCCUUCUAUUGCUAGUACAGUCCUAAGGCUGGAUGUGCUGGGUCAGGCUGGGAGGCAGGGGCUCAGGGGUUAUGUUCUUUGAUACACGCCAAUGCAAUUUCUUGUUCUUGUUUUAGCUUCUUGCAAAUUAAUUAAUUCAUUAAUUCAUUCUACUUUGGGGCUUAGGCUAUCUGACCUUAUCAUUAUUAUGUAACUAUUAUUUCAUAUUGUUAUAUGCAGUCUUCUGGGUCACUUCCUUGCAUUUUUUUCCAAAAAACUGAUAUAUACAGUGCAAACCAAAGGAUCUUCACUCAUCCCUCCUCACCUAAAAAUGCAUCAAUGCCACACUCAUUCUUUCUUCCUUCUAGUACUAGCGAAUAAAAUAUCCAUCUAAUUAAAGCAAUUUCAAACAACAUUCUCUGGAUCCUUCCCAUUUGUCUUCUCUUUCCCCCAAAGUUCCCAAGGAAACUUGCUUGAUUUCAAGACAAUUGAAGUGUCACCUUCUCUGUGAAGCUAGCGCUGCCUACACCAGGUUUAACAGUGUCCUUUUAAGCUUUACUUCUUUGUCUCUCUCUCUCUGCUCUCAUUUAUUACAUUUAUCACACUACAUUGUAAUUUUUCUUCUAGCUUUUUUAACACACCAUAAAGGAGAGAAAUGUGUCUUUUUCAACCAUUUAUCCCUCAGAUCCAGCAAAAAA
rnacentral:lncRNA from 1 species